GCAGUUGAACAUACAAACACAACCUAUAGUCCAACAGAGAAGAAAAAAAAAAUUAUAUUAAAGUGAAACUAAUUGACAACUUUAUUGUCCAGUUAAGCAUUGGAGCCAAGGCCACUGGUCAAAAAUGUCCAGGCAAUUACCCACCAAAUAACUGCUAUAAUGAGAUGGUAAAUGUUAACCAAGCAUCUCAAUAAAGGUUUUCAAUGAACAAGAAAGAGGCUAAUUUCUCCUAUGGUCACUGAACUUCCAUUAAAUUUCAAUAUGGUCACUAAUUUUAAUUUGUAUCAGAAAAAUACCCAACUUCAAUUUACUUUCAGUAAGUUCACUUCAGCUAGUUUUUUAUAAGAAUUUAACCAAUUUUUUAUGCGAUGAUAAAAUAUAAAAGUUCCAUAGCAUAUAGAACUAUAUAGUUUUGCUUGUGUCAAAAUAUGCUUGAAAUUUUAUCAAAAUUUAGCAAUAAUAACCUUGUUAAAAUAAAA
rnacentral:misc_RNA from 1 species